rnacentral:rRNA from 1 species
CCUACGGGAGACAGCAGUGGGGAAUAUUGCACAAUGGGGGAAACCCUGAUGCAGCGACGCCGCGUGAGUGAAGAAGUAAUUCGGGAUGUAAAGCUCUAUCAGCAGGGAAGAAAAUGACGGGACCUGAGUAAGAAGCCGCGGCGAACUACGUGCCAGCAGCCGCGGGAAUACGUAGGGGGCAAGCGUUAUCCGGAUUUACGUGGUGUAAAGGGAGCGUAGACGGGCGUGCAAGUCUGGAGUGAAAGGCGGGGGCUCCACCCCCGGACUGCUCUGGAAACUGUACGGCUGGAGUGCAGGAGAGGUACGUGGCAUUCCUCGUGUAGCGGUGAAAUGCGUAGAUAUUAGGAGGAACACCAGUGGCGAAGGCGGCUUACUGGACUGUAACUGACGUUGAGUCUCGAACGCGUGGGGAGCAAACAGGAUUAGAUACCCGAGUAGUC